rnacentral:rRNA from 1 species
AACGGAAAGGCCUGCAGCUUGCUGCGGGUACUCGAGUGGCGAACGGGUGAGUAACACGUGGGUGAUCUGCCUUGCACUUCGGGAUAAGCUUGGGAAACUGGGUCUAAUACCGGAUAGGACAGCUGUUUAGUGUCAGUUGUGGAAAGUUUUUUCGGUGCAAGAUGAGCUCGCGGCCUAUCAGCUUGUUGGUGGGGUAAUGGCCUACCAAGGCGUCGACGGGUAGCCGGCCUGAGAGGGUGUACGGCCACAUUGGGACUGAGAUACGGCCCAGACUUCUACGGGAGGCAGCAGUGGGGAAUAUUGCACAAUGGGCGGAAGCCUGAUGCAGCGACGCCGCGUGGGGGAUGAAGGCCUUCGGGUUGUAAACUCCUUUCGACAGGGACGAAGCGUAAGUGACGGUACCUGUAUAAGAAGCACCGGCUAACUACGUGCCAGCAGCCGCGGUAAUACGUAGGGUGCGAGCGUUGUCCGGAAUUACUGGGCGUAAAGAGCUCGUAGGUGGUUUGUCGCGUCGUCUGUGAAAUUCCGGGGCUUAACUCCGGGCGUGCAGGCGAUACGGGCUGACUUGAGUGCUGUAGGGGAGACUGGAAUUCCUGGUGUACGGUGAAAUGCGCAGAUAUCAGGAGGAACACCGAUGGCGAAGGCAGGUCUCUGGGCAGUAACUGACGCUGAGGAGCGAAAGCAUGGGUAGCGAACAGGAUUAGAUACCCUGGUAGUCCAUGCCGUAAACGGUGGGCGCUAGGUGUAGGGGGCUUCCACGUCUUCUGUGCCGUAGCUAACGCAUUAAGCGCCCCGCCUGGGGAGUACGCCGCAAGG